rnacentral:lncRNA from 1 species
GUGCAGUGCGCGCCACACGCGUUACCUCAGAGCGGUGGGUGUUACGGACGGCGAAUGUGUCGGUGUUUAACUCUUGAAGCUCCCGUUUGGGGAACAGAGGUGCUUCGUUCCGAGGUUUGUGUGCUCGGGGAGCGGAGCCCUCCUCGCUGUCCCCUCAGUGUGCCCUUGAGGCGGCUGAAACCCCCGCGGGAAAGAGGCACGUCAGCAAAGCGCCUUCUGCCUCCCUUCAGCGUUCCCGCUGUGCCGUGUGGAGACGGUUCAGUCAGCCCUAGCUGCCGAAACACCCACCUCAGCUCCCAGCACGCGGGAAGCAUAACACGACCUGGCUCAAGAAGGGAGCUGCGGAAACGGAACACAUCCCAAGGGAUGAGAGCACUUCUCGAAGAGGAGAUCCCUCGCCGAAGAUCUUUGGCAGUACCAGUAAUUAUGCUGAGAAAACAAGCCUAAACUGUCACCACAAACAGAUUGGGGUUUUGUUCUACAGCCCCUUCCAUGAUCAGUAAGAGACUGUACCAACUGAAAAGUUCUGGUGAGAGAUUUAAAAUCAUAUCUGAGGUGUUUUGUAGAGAUCUACGAACCUGAAUUCACAGAUUCAGUAGAAAAUGAAAGACUUUUUUUUUUUUUUUUUUUUUUUUAAUGCUACUCUCUCCUCUUGAAAUCUAGGUUUUCCAUAGCUGUGGGUUUGGGUUUUGGCUCGCUUUUUUUUUUUUUUUGACAUGAACUCUCUGUCUAUAAAUAUCUGGGGAGAUUCUUCUCAUUAUUUCCCUCCUAUGUGAGCUUGACAAGAAAAAAUCUAAUCACCAUUCAGGAAACGACAAAACAGGUUUACUUGAUACGUUCUGCAGUACAGCUGUGAAUAUGGCACAGGACACUGAAAGGUCAAAGGGCUUAUACUCCACCACGACUGAUCUCACAUCCUCUCGCAAUAUCAGAUUUGCUGGUUCUGUAAAAGCACAGGUAUUUGCACAGCUGAAAUACUACAAAAUAGUUUCAGCCCAAGGGGAGGUGGGAGGAAAAAAAUGAUAUUUACAGUUCCAAGGAGGUUUCGAUUUCCCCUUUCCCUAGCGGUACAGUUUUGUUUUCUGCAAGAUUUCAACUGUUGUAACCAGAACUUUGAGCGCUAGAUCGCUUGAUCCAAACAUCAGGCAUGUCUGGUUGGCUGUUCGGUAACACAACGGGCCCUUCACUCCCUAAUCCAAAUCGAUUUUUCCACGAAGAGCUGUUCUGCUGCGAUGCUGCUGGAGAGAUAUCAAAGACAGUCUCCCUCAGGUCCAGACGCAGUGUAUCUCUCUUCCCGUUCAAGUAGCCUCUCUCUGUUUGACUGUACGAAUCAGAGAGCUCUAAGACAUCAGGACAAGAACUGGCUGAUUCAGCGAGCUUUAGGCCUUGUUCAAAAUCACUAAUCGAUGUCUCACUGGAGAUGUUGAGCAUGUCAAAAGAGCUGCCAAGAGAACAAAGGCAUCUGUGAAUUUUGUAGAUGUCAGCAGCAGGAAGAUGGCUGUUGUCUGAGGUAUAAUCCGACUGCUGCUGGGCAGUGUCAGUGGAGCACUGUGAUUUAUUGAGCUGCCCUUCUUCAUUCACACCAGCUGGCUGAAUAUAGUCCAGCCCAGAACUAUCCCAAGCUUUUGGGCUGUAUUUCCGACACUGACAAUCUCUGCAUAACCUCUCCCUGUGAAUUUCUGCUCCUGAGCUGCUGUGCUUGUAAGGAGAGGAAGUUUGCAAGGCAGGACACUGGCACAGGACAGCCUGGUCAUCUCCAAGGUUCUCUUGCAGAUUCUGUCUCUCUCUUUCAAGGGGAGGGUGCGUUCCUAUUCUCGGGCACCUGUUAUCUUCAGCUUGCAUGUCUUCAGAGAGCACUGAUGGCCUGUUGGACAGCUUGCUUGUGGAUGUGCUGUUGUCAAAACUGUCGCUGAGUUUUCUGGACAAAGGCUGGAGCUCGUAUUGCUCAUUUGCAGUGUUGGACUCCUGGACCUUCCGCAGUCGGUUUUGCUUCUCAUUUCCCCCACAGGCAUAGGUUCCAUUUGGCUCAGAGUCAUCAGAAUAAUCUUUUAUGGUGUGGGCGCAAGGCCAAAGGAUCUGCCCGCAGUUCUUCUCCGGGCCAAAGAAGCAGCACAGUGACUGGAAGAAGAAGCUGGCAAACCCACAGCUGAUACACUUGAUCAUCAUUAUAAAUAUGCCCAACUUUCUAUAGGCCAGGACUGUAGCGGGCAACAUAAUGACUCCUGCAGAGAACAAGGCAGAUGCUGCCAUCGCGGUGGCACAGCUCAUCUGCUUCAGGGAAAAGGCCACUCGGCUCAGGCGGUCCGAAUGGGGGCACAGGUGGUAGGAGAUACAGUAGUUGACGGUAAAGUCAACAGAGAGACCUACUGCAGCUGAAAUGAAGAGAGACUCCACUGCGUUGAGCUGCCACUCCAAGAGGACCAAAAGGCCAACGGUUACCAGGACAGUGCCUGCAAUGGCAGUCACAGAGAAAACACUAAGGAGAACAUUCCAGGUAGUGAGCAGCAGCACCACAAAAGAAAUGGCAAUAGAGAGCCCCAUGACCACCAUUGUUUCUGUGCUGAGACUGUGCUGGAGGUUGUAUAGCUCUAGUUUACUGGUAAACCACCCAUUCUGAAGUCCCACAGGGGCAGUUUUCAUUUCUUCUGUUACCCAGAGGUUGAUUUCUUCAUAGAAGUGUUUGGCUUUGCUGUAAUUGAAGCUAUAGUGAUAAACAGUUUGAAACUGCAGUACUAAGGCAGCAAGAUUUCCCUCUCCAUCAAAUCUGAGGCCCAGAUCGUAUGUUUCUGCCCCUUCCCUGCCUUGUUCCAGGAGCAUCAUUUUGAUGCAGUGUAGGAAGACUUCGCUUCCAUAAGGGAAAGAGAACUGGUUACAGCACAGGCUGAAGCUGUUGUCUCUCUGGGAGCACUGGCGACUAUCCAUCCACCUGACAAACUCCUCCAUGAAACACACAGUAGAUUUCUGCUCUGUAUCAAGGUAAUAGAAAGUUUGGUUCUUCACCUUUUGACAGAAUUCAAAGAGCCACUUCUGGGCAUCGGGACUUUGGAUAGUGAAGGUGGCAUCUGCCACCAGGGUGCCAUUGCUUUUUGGAUUGAAAUGGUCCCCAUUAUCCACAGGCAGGAUACCCCAGAUGAUAGUGACAGGCAUACGCUGCCCUUCUCCACGCUCUAGCCUCUCAAACAUGAACUGAUGGCAGUACUCAGAGUCGUACCUCUCAAAGGGGUGGCUCAGUCUGAACACCUGGACAGACGACGACUCAAGAGUUGGGAGUUUGAGUUUUGGGUUGGAACAGGAGAUGUAGGCACCUCCGAUUGCUAAGGCGGCAAACCAGCAGAUCCAGAUGUACCGAAACUUGAUGACCCCACAAGGCAAAAGCUUUUCAAAUAACAACUUGGAGGUUUCGCACAACGUCUUCUGGAGACCCCUGAGAACAUAGUGGAGGGAGAGAGCGACUCUCUUGUGGCCGGUGUUUUUCCAGUAGUCUUCCGGCUUGUAAACGCAGGUUGUCGCAAUGUAGCGCUCGUACAGCACAGCCGAAGAAGGAAGCCAAGUCAUCAUGAAUACGAGAUUCACCAGGACGGAGGUGCCCAUGUAAACAGCAAAGCAGCGGAUGGCUAUUAUGUUGCUAAUGUAGCUGGCGUAGAAGGCAGCACCCGUUGUGAAGCAGGAUGCCAGCAUGAGAUACGCAAAGUGGUGCAUGGUUUGACUCACCCGCUGUGAAAGCCCAGCAGAAGGGUUCUGGCUCUUGCUCAGGUUCCAGAGGUCAAAGAAGACGAAGGUGUGGUUGGCACAAAUGCUGCUGAGAAUGAUAACAGCCGUCAGGUUUACAAAAGGGAAGUAGGUGAAUCUGAAGGCCACCUUGUACAAGAAGUAGGAGAUCAUCAAAGAGCUGACGACAGUGAGCAGGACCAUCAAGCUCAACUGGAUGCAAAGAGAUGCAGAGAAAAGGAAGAGGAGCUGUAUGGCAGGUGACAGGCUGGAACAAGCUGCUCCUGAGACCCACAGGAAUGAGUUGCAUUUGUCAUGCUGCUUCCCCCUCUCUUCCCUUGAGACGUCUAGACAAGAUAAUAAUCCAAUUUAUGAAACUGCCCAAGUCCCUCUAAGUGCAGCAACGCUUUUCCAAGGCAAGCAACAGUGCGCAGGCAGCCCACCAGAUGUGCAGGAACCAGCAAAAGGGCUGAAGCCUCUUCCCACAGUAAAACAGUCAGGAUAACACCAUUGUUAUUGCUUAUGUUUGCUUGUGCUGUUAAGGGGACGAGUGCAUGUAUCUGGAGAUUAUGGGAGGGCUUAUUGCAUUUCAUGCUCACCUAUUAUGUGGGUUCACUGCCCAGCUGGCAGUGAGGGAUGGGCACCUGUCAAGCAAUUCAUCUCCUCCUUUGGCAGGGUCAAAUUCUUGUUCACUGGAAAAUUUCUGUGUAGUUACUCCUUGUUUUGCUUUUUCAAUCUAGUAGCAAAAUAGCAUGUAUCCUUAAGAAGCCUUACAAUCUUUUUUUUUUUUUAAUUAGACUCCUGAGUAUGCUAAAUCUUCAUGAAAAAUUAAUGAGACUGAAAAGCUCUGCUUCCCACGUAGUCUGCCAAGAAAAGUUUAGUUUUAUUAUCCUUCCCAUUGACUCUUCUGAACAGCCUUACCCUCACCUCGGGCAGCUAGCAGUGUUGUGGGUACAGGUGUUUGUGAUGGGGUGCAAGCAGAAACAAAGGGCUCAGCCAUCCCCACCCAGUCUCCAGCUCCAGAAAGGUCUGGGUGCAGUUUGCUGUAUGUACCCUGGCAGUAUAAAAUGCACAGACAAAAAUCUGUGUUCUCGCCCCUAUUUUGAAGAAAAGAAAACAACACCUUACUAUCCCAGCCUUAGGAAGGUCAGAAAGAAGGUGUUGUUUAUCAAUGAUCAUUUCAGUCAAGCAUUGGCUUUGGCCAGAGGACAGGUGCUACAGAGGUAACCCUUUUGUGGCUACAUGAACAGCCUUGCAUAAAGAAGCAUUUAUGUAUAUGCUUGCUCAGGAGUCAGAGAACUAUCACCUUGCACUUUAUUGCCAUAAAUUUUAGUUCUUGAGUGUACAGCAUGAGAUAAAGUCAAAGCACCCAUUUCAGCUGGUCUAACUUGUAUCCAUAACUGAACUCCGACAGGCUGCAGCAUUCAUUUUAAAGGAUCUGUUCAAACGAGCAAGACAAGCAAAGCUAAUGGGGC